UAUAUAUAUUAUUAAUAGGAAAGUCAUAAAUAUAUAAAUUAUAUUUUAUAAUUUAUAUAAUAAUAAAUAAAUUAUAUAUUUUAUAUAUAAUAUUAAUUAAUAAUAUAAAUAUUAUUAAUAUAAAUAAUAUAAUUUAUAUAAAAAUUAUAUAUAAAUUAAUAUAAUAUUAAUAAAGUAAUUAGUAUAAAUAAAUAAAUAUGAAAAUAAAACUUAAUAAAUAUAUAUAUAUAAUAAAAAAUAUGAUAAAAUAAAUAAAUCAUUAUUUUUUUAAGUCCAUAAAUAUAUAUAUAUUAAUAAAAAUAAUAUAUAUAUAUAUAUAUUGGAAUAGUUAUAUUAUUAUACAGAAAUAUGCUUAAUUAUAAUAUAAUAUCC
rnacentral:RNase_P_RNA from 1 species